CCGCCGGCGGCCUUUUCCCCGGCCCCUGGCUGCCCCGGCACCGCCUCGCUGCGCGGGGCUUCGUGAGGCGGCCCCGGAGGGGCUUCGAGAUGGUUCCUCCCCUCAGCCCCGCCGGGAGAGCGGCGGGAAGGGGAGUCGCGGCUCGGGAGAGGCAUUCCAGAGGAAUACAAAUCAGGGGAUAAUCCCGCUGGGGCCGCAGCCGCACGCUGCUCACAGCGGCCCUUUCUCCCAGUAAGGCCGCAGGAACGCCAGGGUGAUGGGUUGAGGCUCAAACAGCGGCUGCCGUGGGGUUGCCCAGGCUCAGACCUGCGCUCGCACGCCUGACCGAGACUGAUAAAUCUUUCAUGCACUCACACAGGCUGUUUCUCGCAGCAGAGCAGAAUAAGAGGGUUCACACUGCAAGUUGUGGCUGAAGAACAGCAACUUCACUUAGAAAGGAAGCACUGUAACUCUCUGAGCUCUGCAGCUGGGCAGUUCCCCAUCCAUUGCCUGAACCUGAAGGUUUGUCUUAGGAGUUCCCGAAAGCUCCUCUUGGGAGCUGAGGACUUGCAAAGUGGCAGUGAACAGUGCCCUUCUGAUCCAAGUGAAUUGGAGUACCCUCACACCAUAUAGUUGUCUGCGAUGGAAGCUGCAUUAACUAUUUCAAAGGAAGAAAAAAGUCCUGCCAGCCCCAUGAUUAAUUGAUGAAACCUCAUUUCUGUGAGCUUCUGUCUCAUGCUUGACUGAGAGCUUGACCUGAAUCCUGCCCUACAACUGGGUCAUUCUCUACCUGGUUGGGAGAGAACAGGAUGAGUUCUUCCAUGGUGGGCACAUGCACCCUGCUGUGAUUUCCAAGCUGAGCUGGAAAACGAAGAAACCUCCUUCUUCCAAAUGUUAGGUUGUUUCGUGAUUGGCAGAACUGGUGUGGUCCGGUUUCCUACAGAUUCAUACCUGAUAUCUGGCAGAGGGGGGACACCCUCAGUGAAGAGGCUUGUAGGAUCUCGCUGCCUUACCUUGCUGCCAUUUUUCAUUAUUCCUGCAGGGGUUCCCCAGGAUUAGCUCUUGGACCUGUAUCCCUCUGUUUGUUUUGUUUAAAACAGACCAGCGAGUUCGGCACUUCCUGAGGUUGUAGAAGGUAAGAGACAGGAUCAGGGGGAAGAAAGAUCCAGUGAGUUUAAUGGUGUCAGCCUUAAUUCUUUGGGCAAAAGGGAUUUUAAAACUACCCCUAUAAUCAGGAAGAGUUAAACCAGGAUGAAAUCUGGUGAGGAUUUGACCCUCCACCACUGUGACAGGGGAGUUUCUGCACAGAAGCAGCACAGCUGGGACACCCAGUAAUAUUUCCUUGGUCCUUCCCACCCUAAAACAUGUUCUGCAGCGUGGUUUCCAAAGUUCUGGGAGUUGAGGGUGUGCGGGAUACUCCUUCCAGAGCAGACAUCUGCAUAAAUUGCCAUAAUAAUGCCGUAAAGCAGGAGGAAAAGCAGUUUUCCCCUCCUACAUGCUCUCUACCCCUGCUCAUUCCCACUGCUCCUCGUAAUAUAAAAUGUACAUAUUCUCCCAGCUUAUGCUUUAGUGGCCACGAUCCAAUAAACUCCUCGAGGUUUUCCCUCCUGCUCUCCCCACAGCCCCCUUUGUGCCGCCAGCCUCCCAGAGACAUCCCCAUCCCUCACAUGAGCCUAGGCUCUUUCCCUGCUGCAGGAAACUCACACAAGUGGACACGGGGGGAAAGGGGGAGGAAGCCUCUUUGGGAAGCAGGAGAGGAGCUGGCGUGUUGUGAGGGAAGGAUGUGGCUGCUAAGCUUCUGCCAAAAGCAGAGUUUUAAAAAGCUAGGAUGACACUGACGCAGGAGCGGCACAAGACACCAGCAACUGGUUCCCAUCAAGUGAGGACUGGUUGUAUCUGCAAGUGUGAUGAAGCCAUCCUAACAGCAAGGUCUGGAAGGACUGGCUAGUGUGGUUUCUGAAAUUCACAUGGCAGCAGAAGACAAAACCCAUUCUCCAGCCUUUAUUCGUGGAGUUCAGGGCAACAUAAACAAUAAUAAAGAGCAGGGAUGACUAAAAUAGGAAGGCUGGUUUUGCGGGCAUGACAGGAGCAAAAAUAGACAUAUUUUAUAAAUAAAGAUGUGCUGGAAA